rnacentral:rRNA from 1 species
AAUCGCGGAUCAGAAUGCCGCGGUGAAUACGUUCCCGGGUCUUGUACACACCGCCCGUCACACCAUGGGAGUCGGAAAUGCCCGAAGCCGGUGGCCUAACCGAUAAGGGAGGAGCCGUCGAAGGCAGGUCUGAUGACUGGGGUGAAGUCGUAACAAGGUACC